rnacentral:rRNA from 1 species
UACGAAGGGGGGCUAGCGUUGCUCGGAAUCACUGGGCGUAAAGCGCACGUAGGCGGACUCUUAAGUCGGUGGUGAAAUCCUGGAGCUCAACUCCAGAACUGCCUUCGAUACUGAGAGUCUCGAGUCCGAUAGAGGUGGGUGGAAUUCCUAGUGUAGAGGUGAAAUUCGUAGAUAUCAGGAGGAACACCGGUGGCGAAGGCGGG